rnacentral:rRNA from 1 species
UACAGAGGGUGCGAACGUUAUUCGGAAUCACUGGGCUUAAAGCGCGUGUAGGCGGACGGGAACGUCGGUCGCUGAAAUCCCCCGCUCAACCGGGGAACGGGCGCCGAAACGACCCGUCUUGAGGGAGGUAGGGGCAGCGCGGAACUUCCGGGUGGAGCGGUGAAAUGCGUUGAUAUCGGAAGGAACGCCGGUGGCGAAAGCGGCGUGCUGGCCCUCUCUGACGCUGAGGCG